AAGAACUUCCGACGACGAAACCGCGGGAUGGCUCAGGUGUUAGAAGCGUGGGAGGCGACGACAGACACUGGUGGCAGAGGCGUGCGGCGGCUGAAGUUUGGGGGGCUAGGGUUUGUUUGCUGAAAUGUUUUAGGAUAGUUGGGCUAGGGUUUAGUUUGGGCUUGUAAUUGGGUUUGGGUUAUUAUGUAAUGGGUUGUUGUUUGGUUUGUGAAUUGGGCCCUGAUAUUUGUAAAAAUGGACUGCGAAUUUUGGACUUU